AUAGCUCAGUGGUAGAGUGAGUGCUUAGCAUGCACGAUGUCCUGGGUUCAAUCCCAGU
rnacentral:tRNA from 1 species